CCACGCUUAGGGCCCUCCCUCCCUCCCCGCCACCACCGUCUGUCGGCCGGCCGCGGGGAAGGAAGAAAGGCACAGAGGAGGCCGAGGCAUGGAUCCUCAGCCCCCUCCACCCGCCCAGGGCAGCCCACCUCACCGUGGCCGUGGCCGGGGCCGGGGCCGGGGCCGUGGACGAGGCCGAGGUCGAGGCCGGGGCAGGGGGGGCGCUGGAGCCCCUCGGGCGCCUUUGCCCUGCCCCACCUGUGGCCGCCUCUUCCGUUUCCCCUACUACCUCUCCCGGCACUGGCUGAGCCAUUCGGGCCUCCGACCCCACGCCUGCCCGCUGUGCCCCAAGGCCUUCCGCCGGCCUGCCCACCUCUCCCGCCAUCUGCGUGGCCACGGGCCCCAGCCCCCGCUGCGCUGCGCCGCCUGCCCCCGCACCUUCCCGGAGCCUGCCCAGCUGCGGCGCCACCUGGCCCAGGAGCACGCAGGAGGCGAGGUCGAGCUAGCCAUCGAGAAAGCAGCCAAGGAGGCAGCGGAGUCCAACUGGGGCCCGCAGGAUGAGGGCCCGGAGCAGCCCAGCACAGCCGCGGGCGCCCCGGAGGAAGCAGCGUGGCCCGAAACGUGGCCUGCAGGGGAGCCGGCUGCGCUGGUGGCCCCCACGAGUGCUGAGUCCCGGGACCGGGAGUCGGAAGAGGAGGAGGCUGAGGCUGGGGCGGCGGAGCUGAGGGCCGAGUUGGCGCUGGCGGCUGGGCGGCAGGAGGAGAAGCAGGUCCUGCUCCAGGCCGACUGGACGCUGCUGUGCCUCCGCUGCCGCGAAGCCUUCGCCACCAAGGGCGAGCUCAAAGCGCACCCGUGCCUGCGCCCGGAGGGCGAGCAGGAGGGCGAAGGGGGCCCCCCACCCCGCCCCAAGCGCCACCAGUGCUCCAUCUGCCUCAAGGCCUUCGCCAGGCCCUGGUCUCUGUCCCGCCACCGGCUGGUCCACUCCACUGACCGCCCCUUCGUGUGCCCGGACUGCGGCCUGGCCUUCCGACUCGCCUCCUACCUCCGCCAGCAUCGCCGCGUGCACGGCGCGCUCAGCCUGCUGGCCCCGCUGCCCACGGCGGGCAAGAAGGACGACAAAUCCUCGGGUGGACGGAACUCAGGGAAGGGGCCCGAGGGGGGUGAAGGGGCUGAGUGCGGGGCUGCCCCAGAGGGGGGAGAAGGCGGGCAGAACGGGGGCGAUGAGGCCCCGGCCCGGCCCCCCGCCGGGGAGCCGCGUUUCUGGUGCCCCGAGUGCGGCAAAGGUUUCCGGCGCAGGGCGCACCUGCGGCAGCAUGGGGUGACCCACUCGGGGGCGCGCCCCUUCCAGUGCGUACGCUGCCAGCGCGAGUUCAAGAGGUUGGCCGACCUGGCUCGCCACGCGCAGGUCCACGCUGGGGGCCCCGCCCCGCACCCGUGCCCACACUGCCCGCGCCGCUUCUCUCGCGCCUACAGCCUCCUGCGCCACCAACGCUGCCACCGCGCCGAGCUGGAGCGGGCGGCUGCGCUGCAGGCUCUCCAGGCCCAGGCCCAGGCCCAGGCCCCGCCGUCGCCCCCGCCGCCCCCACCGCCCCCGCCGGCCGGGCAGGAGGACGAAGGGCUGCCCCUGCCCAUCGCACACAUCAAGGAAGAGCCACCCUCCCCGGGGACCCCACCCCAGUCGCCGGUGGCUCCCCCUGUCUUCCUCAGCGCCUCCUGCUUCGACAGCCAAGACCAUUCAGCCUUCGAGAUGGAGGAAGACGAGAUUGACAGCAAGGCACACCUGCGCGGAUUCGGCAGCCUGGCCUCCUGACCCUCAUACCCACCCUCGGCCCCUCCAGUUGCCCUCCCCACCCUGGUUUGCAAUAUAGAGGAGAGAAGUUGAAGGGGAGGCCCCUCUUCCAUCUACCCAUCCCGCCCUUCCCAGCCCUGACACUAAGGAGGUGGGGCCGGGACUGCCCCUCCCUCCCCAUCGCCCACCCCCAAGCCCCAGAUGCUGGUUAUGAACUGCUCACCCGGUACUUCCCAAGGCAGGACCGCUUGGAAAAGGAGGCGCAGGACACUGGCCAGAAGGAUGGAGACUGGGGUGCCUCCUACCGGCUGCCUCCUUUGUACACACUGGACACCAUCGCCUCUUUGGAACUGCCAGACCCUUGGGGUCCCAGUGAGCAAAGGACCCCACCCAGGAUACCACAUGGCCUUACAACACGCCUCCUGAAUGUCUGCUCUGUGAUCAUUUCUUAGAUUUGCCUUGAGUUUUGGUGACUUUGGCCGUUUUGAGCAGUCCUGGGGGAGAAAGACCACGCCAGUACCACCAGGAGAAGAGAGAGCAGUGCUAAGGGAAAAGCAGGGGCUUCUGGCUGCAGUAUGAUGGAAGAUGGAACUUCAGCCUGGUGACCAAGGAGUGAUUCUAGGAGGAGUAUUUUGAAACCUGAUCAGAGGAGGUAGGGAGCUGAGCACGUGAGUCAAGACUGGGACAGGCUCCCUUUCCAAAGGGGCUCUGAGGCUCCCAGGGGACAGCCACCUACCCACGGACAUCCCACCAUGCAGAGCUCUGCCCUUCUUCCCAAGCUUCAACCCACAAUGUUAUCCACCCCUGCUUCCGGCCUCCUGGGUGAGCGGUUUGGAAUUCAGCCUUAGAGGCCAGGUCCCGGGGCCUCCUUAUCUUGCCACACCCAACACUGUGCCUGGCACAGACUUGAGCUCCAUAAAUAUUUGCUGUCACUCAGCCAGCUGCCCAAGCCACAGCCGCCCUCCUUUCUCACCUCUGGGCCUUGGCCCAAGCUGCACCCUCCUCUCCAUCCGCUCUUUGGUCUCUAGGAGGGAUAGGGUGGGCAUUGACGGAACCAGGUGUGGACCAGAAAGAAGAAAGUGACCCACCCAAGGUCACUGGGAGAGGGAGGGCAGAGAGAGAGGAGAGCUGGGUUGCUUCCAGAUUUCUUUGACAGGAUAAAAGCUGUAUGUAGCUACUAUUUAUCAUCACGUCCAUUCUCCCGUGCCAGGCACGUCACAGGCAUUAGCUGGUGUCAUCGACAUGACAACUGCCAGUCCCUAGCACAAGCCACAUUUUCUCAUCUCGUGGCCUUGGAUGGACUUUGCCUGGAAUGACCCCUCCACUCUUCCCUUCAGGCAUCCCCUUAAAUACCCCCCAGAAGACCCUCCUUACCCCCUCUUCAAACCUCUCAUCUCUUAUCAACCUGCUGUAAGCAAAAUUCUAAGAUAACCCCCCAAGACCCCUGCUUCCCUGGUGCACACACCUUCUCCCAAUUCUUCAGUCAGAUGGUAACCUAGGUGCUGCUGAGAAGGGCUGUUGCAGACAGAAUUAAGUUGCCAAUCAGUUGACUUUAAGGGAGGGAGACAAUCUUCGGUGGGUCUGACCUAACCAGGUGACCCCUUAAAAGGGACCGACCUUUUCCUGGAGAGAUUGGAAGUAUGUAGGGGACUCAACAGAACGGGGAGUCUCCAUUGCUGGCUUUGAAGGUGUGCGUGUGUGUGUUGGGGGGAACCACAGGACAAGGAAUGCAGGCAGCCUCUGAAAACUGAGUGGACACAGCUGACAGCCAGCAAGUGACCAGGAACUGCACAACUUACCCCGACAGACACCCUGGUCCUGCCUGCCUGGACUCCUGAUUCACAAAACCAUGGGCUAAUCAGGGGUGCUAGUUGGUGGUUGCCAGGGGCUGGGGGAGGGAGGGAUGGAUCGUUAGAGCACAGAGGAUGUUAAGGGCAGUGAAACUACUCUGUAUACUACUGUAAUGGUGCAUACAUAUCAUUAUACAUUUGUGCAAACCCAUAGAAUGUACAUCGCUAGAGUGAACCUUGAUGUAAACCAGGGAUUUGGGGCAAUUACAAUGUGUCAGUGUAGGUUCAUCACUAGUAACAAACGUACCAUUGGGGCCGGCCGAGUGGUGCGUUGGUC